rnacentral:rRNA from 1 species
GAUCAUUACCAAUAUGAAAGCAAAUGGGGAACCACAGGAAUAUGGGCUCUUGCUCGCAUUUCUGCCCCAUCUUGCUGAAUAUUCACCCAUGUCUUUUGCGUACUAUAUGUUUCCUUGGUGGGCUUGCCCACCGAUAGGACAUUAUUAAACCUUUUGUAAUUGCAAUCAGCGUCAGAAAAAAACUUAAUAGUUACAACUUUCAACAACGGAUCUCUUGGUUCUGGCAUCGAUGAAGAACGCAGCGAAAUGCGAUAAGUAGUGUGAAUUGCAGAAUUCAGUGAAUCAUCGAAUCUUUGAACGCACAUUGCGCCCCUUGGUAUUCCAUGGGGCAUGCCUGUUCGAGCGUCAUUUGUACCCUCAAGCUUUGCUUGGUGUUGGGCGUUUUGUCCUCUUCUAGAGGACUCGCCUCAAAACAAUUGGCAGCCGGCAUAUUGGUAUCGGAGCGCAGCACAAGUCGCACUUCUUUCCAUGAAUGUUGGCAUCCAUCAAGACCAUUUUUCACUCUUGACCUCGGAUCAGGUAGGGAUACCCGCUGAACUUAAGCAUAUCAAUAAGCGGAGG